CAACAAAAAGAGGAGGGGGCCCACGGAGAAGAUUGAGGGGAUUUUUCAAUUCAUAUCAGCACAUUGGGGAGGGGAAUUGGUUUUCUUCUCCACGGCUGAUUCCAGGAGAAUCACUGACCCUCUCCAUUUUUUCCAUUGAAUACAACACACAAAAUUCACAGGCAACAAUAGGUAUAGAGAAUUUUUCAUUCACUGGGAGGAGGAGACUGCAACAAUACUCCUCCCAUUUUUCAUACUCACACCACACACCCACUUCAUCAUCAACACCAUCUCAUGCACGUCACUGGAUGCACAAACGGAAUGAGUAGAAAAGAGGAGGGUGAAGCGGACUGAAGACGAAGAAAAACACUGAAAUGGGUAGAGAUUAGGGAGUAGAUUGAGAGGGAGAUCGGAGACUGGCGAGUCCUCGCCUGAAUCUCACCGGCAAAGAGGGUCUAAAAACGGCCAAACUUCUUUUGUUUUCCUUCGAUUCCGGAUGAAAUCCGGCCGGCGACUAGCUGUUCUGGUCAUUGUCAUCACCGGCGACUCACCGGAGUUUGAAUCGUGCUGGUGUUUGGUUUUCUGCUAGAUUUUAUCAAACUUUUGGAAUCAUCCAUUGCGGGGUUUGUUAUCGAUAUCAGGUUCAUCGGGAAUUUCCGAGACCAAGUCGAGUCAAUAUUCGAUUUGGGUGUCAUAUUGCUAUUUUUUUUAGUUGGAAAUCUGAUCGGAGGUCGUUUUUCCAUACCGAGUUGGAUCUGUUCGUCAUUCGAGGUGUUCGGUUCGAGAGUUUUGGAACAGACACUGUUCCUUUAACUAUCAUCGAAAGUCAGAGUCACUGAGUUUUGAUGUGAUUCCAGGAACCCCGCCUGCAGAACAGGGUAAAGAAAUUGAAAGCAUAGCAACAAGUUUAUGAAAUAGCAAUUCAGGAGCUCGCCUGGAGACCAGGGUGUAGAAAUUGAAAGGCAAGCAACAAGUUAAAGAAAUUGAAAGUCAGGAGCCCGCCUGAAGAAUAGGGUGAUGAAACUCAAGUCAAGAGUCCAACAGAAGCUGCGUAGAUAGGAUUUUGUAAUUUCAUUUGUGUUUUAACUUCUAAUUUUCAUUUCUGAUGUAAUAACAGAGUCGCGGAUCGGAACCUCGAUGGAACCUCACUCGACUCUCCAACUCGGUUUGUCAUUCUUCCUUCUAUUGCUUCCUCGAAAAAUGAUCGGGACAAAAUUCUAUCACGUUGUCUA